rnacentral:rRNA from 1 species
UACAGAGGGCGCGAGCGUUGUCCGGAAUCACUGGGCGUAAAGGGCGCGUAGGUGGCCACUAUAAGGCUGCGGUGAAAGUUCGGGGCUCAACCCCGAAUCUGCCGCGGCGACUGUAGGGCUUGGGCACCGUAGAGGCAGAUGGAAUUCCGGGUGUAGCGGUGGAAUGCGUAGAGAUCCGGAAGAACACCAGUGGCGAAGGCGACUUACUGGACUGUAACUGACGCUGAGGCAUGAAAGCGUGGGGAGCAAACAGG